CAGUGUGUAGUGUGUUUGUGUAGUGUGCAUUAUAUAAACACACUACACAAACACACUACACAAACACACU
rnacentral:miRNA from 1 species